rnacentral:rRNA from 1 species
CACGAAGGUUGGCUAAUCCUGGUCGGACAUCAGGAGGUUAGUGCAAUGGCAUAAGCCAGCUUGACUGCGAGCGUGACGGCGCGAGCAGGUGCGAAAGCAGGUCAUAGUGAUCCGGUGGUUCUGAAUGGAAGGACCAUCGCUCAACGGAUAAAAGGUACUCCGGGGAUAACAGGCUGAUACCGCCCAAGAGUUCAUAUCGACGGCGGUGUUUGGCACCUCGAUGUCGGCUCAUCACAUCCUGGGGCUGAAGUAGGUCCCAAGGGUAUGGCUGUUCGCCAUUUAAAGUGGUACGCGAGCUGGGUUUAGAACGUCGUGAGACAGUUCGGUCCCUAUCUGCCGUGGGCGCUGGAGAACUGAGGGGGGCUGCUCCUAGUACGAGAGGACCGGAGUGGACGCAUCACUGGUGUUCGGGUUGUCAUGCCAAUGGCACUGCCCGGUAGCUAAAUGCGGAAGAGAUAAGUGCUGAAAGCAUCUAAGCACGAAACUUGCCCCGAGAUGAGUUCUCCCUGACCCUUUAAGGUCCUGAAGGAACGUUGAAGACGACGACGUUGAUAGGCCGGGUGUGUAAGCGCAGCGAUGCGUUGAGCUAACCGGUACUAAUGAACCGUGAGGCUUAACCUU